UACGUAGGGUACGAGCGUUGUCCGGAAUUAUUGGGCGUAAAGAGCUCGUAGGUGGUUGGUCACGUCUGCUGUGGAAACGCAACGCUUAACGUUGCGCGGGCAGUGGGUACGGGCUGACUAGAGUGCAGUAGGGGAGUCUGGAAUUCCUGGUGUAGCGGUGAAAUGCGCAGAUAUCAGGAGGAACACCGGUGGCGAAGGCGGGACUCUGGGCUGUAACUGACACUGAGGAGCGAAAGCAUGGGGAGCGAACAGGAUUAGAUACCCGUGUA
rnacentral:rRNA from 1 species